GUUUAGUAUCUUUUUUGUGCGUACCUCCAGUGUUCCAUGUCCACAGCCAUUGUUACGUUUUUGUACCUUUUUUUGACCCACGGGACAUUGUUUGUAAACAUUUUUGUCAGGUGCUGAUUUGUGUCACCUGCCUCUGUUUAGUGGUCGGUACGCUCACCUGCUCACUGUCACUAAUCAGAGAGCUAUUUAUUCCUGCCUCCUGCCACACUCUCUGGCAGUCUUCUGUCACGCCGGGGUGGCAUGAUUUUGCAGUGGUCGUUUCCCCAAGAUGAUGUCAGGAAGCAGCGUGCAGUGAUGUUGUCUACCUCCUGACCUCAGAUGCUACUGGAGGAACAUAUGGGGCGGAUAGAUGGAACUACAUGAUGCUACAGAGAGCACACAGCUCAAUACUUCAAAACCAGAGAGAGAGGACUACCAAGCCUGGUAAUGGAAUGACCACGCUGCCCCCUACUGGUGGAAUGAGGUACGACCUUGGGAACACUGCAGAUGAUCUUGUCCUUCCCA